GCCGUAAACGAUGGGCACUUGGUGUUGGGGGUAUUGAGUCCCUCGGUGCCGGAGUUAACACGUUAAGUGCCCCGCCUGGGGAGUACGGUCGCAAGACUGAAACUCAAAGGAAUUGACGGGGGCCCGCACAAGCGGUGGAGCAUGUGGUUCAAUUCGACGCAACGCGAAGAACCUUACCGGGGCUCGAACGGUAACUGCUACCUGUGGAAACACGGGAUUCUCUUCGGAGACGGUUAUCGAGGUGCUGCAUGGCUGUCGUCAGCUCGUGUCGUGAGACGUU
rnacentral:rRNA from 1 species